GGGAAACUGCCCGAUGGAGGGGGAUAACUACUGGAAACGGUAGCUAAUACCGCAUAACGUCGUAAGACCAAAGUGGGGGACCUUCAGGCCUCACACCAUCGGAUGUGCCCAGAUGGGAUUAGCUAGUAGGUGGGGUAAUGGCUCACCUAGGCGACGAUCCCUAGCUGGUCUGAGAGGAUGACCAGCCACACUGGAACUGAGACACGGUCCAGACUCCUACGGGAGGCAGCAGUGGGGAAUAUUGCACAAUGGGCGCAAGCCUGAUGCAGCCAUGCCGCGUGUAUGAAGAAGGCCUUCGGGUUGUAAAGUACUUUCAGCGGGGAGGAAGGCGGUGGAGUUAAUAGCUUCACCGAUUGACGUUACCCGCAGAAGAAGCACCGGCUAACUCCGUGCCAGCAGCCGCGGUAAUACGGAGGGUGCAAGCGUUAAUCGGAAUUACUGGGCGUAAAGCGCACGCAGGCGGUCUGUCAAGUCAGAUGUGAAAUCCCCGGGCUUAACCUGGGAACUGCAUUCGAAACUGGCAGGCUAGAGUCUUGUAGAGGGGGGUAGAAUUCCAGGU
rnacentral:rRNA from 1 species